AGUGAACGCUGGCGGUAGGCCUAACACAUGCAAGUCGAACGGCAGCACAGUAAGAGCUUGCUCUUACGGGUGGCGAGUGGCGGACGGGUGAGGCAUACAUCGGAAUCUACUUUUUCGUGGGGGAUAACGUAGGGAAACUUACGCUAAUACCGCAUACGACCUACGGGUGAAAGCAGUGGAUCUUCGGACCUUGCGCGAUUGAAUGAGCCGAUGUCGGAUUAGCUAGUUGGCGGGGUAAAGGCCCACCAAGGCGACGAUCCGUAGCUGGUCUGAGAGGAUGAUCAGCCACACUGGAACUGAGACACGGUCCAGACUCCUACGGGAGGCAGCAGUGGGGAAUAUUGGACAAUGGGCGCAAGCCUGAUCCAGCCACACCGCGUGAGUGAAGAAGGCCUUCGGGUUGUAAAGCCCUUUUGUUGGGAAAGAAAAGCAGCAGGUUAAUACCCCGCUGUUCUGACGGUACCCAAAGAAUAAGCACCGGCUAACUUCGUG
rnacentral:rRNA from 1 species